UUCAAAUCCCUAGCUCUCGAAAACCCGAUUUGAUCACUCAUGCUCAAACCUUCGAAAACCCAAUCGGAAGAAUCGAUUUAUCUACUGAGCACAAUCGACGAUUCCACCUCAAUUUUGCUCAGGGUGUAUAUAACUGAUAGACGCUCAUGAAUCUAAAGAUCUUUAUAUACGAGUUACGUCAUACAGCAGAGAGAAACUUCAUACAAACAGGAGGGUUUACUCCAGCUAUAGCGAGCACUGAGCUGGGUAAAGACCAAAUGCCAUCUCCGCAUAUCAAACCAGAAGCCACCGCUGUUCCAAAAGCUUCAGCCUUGGCUGCAUCUACUCUUUCCCAGAUGAAAAGUAUCAAACUUCCCACGCACAUGUCAAUUGCAAAGUAAGGCCCCAAGAAAAACGGUAUAGCCAUUGCCAUUGGAAGAGGAAUGAACCUUCCCCAUUUGCUCUUGAGACUAUCUUUUACUAUGUUUACGAGAAUCGCCACACUGAAGAACGCAUAGCAUAGAACGAGGCAUUCUCUUGGUAGAGAUGAGACACCUUCCACUCCUAGUUUAG